CGUGACACUUCGAGAUUAUGUUAGAUCAUUACUUUAAAAUUAAAAGAUAUAUAAAUUUUAAGGUGAUGACCUGCUACAAUUUUAGAGUGUCAU
rfam:Gossypium raimondii Chr05_contig_8, whole genome shotgun sequence.